rnacentral:rRNA from 1 species
UUAUAACUGUACUAAGGUAGCAUAAUAAUUUGCUCUAUAAAUUGGGGCUAGAAUGAAUGGUUUGACGAAAAUUUGACUGUCUCUAUUUUAUUUAUUAGAAAUUAAUUUUUGUAGUGAGAAAGCUUAAAUUGUUUAAAGGGACGAAAAGACCCUAUUGAGCUUAUAUUAUUUUAUAAAUUAUAUGAUUGUUGUUUAUUUAGAAUAAUUUUGAUUGGGGUGAUCAAGGAAUAAGAUUGUUUAAAUUAACUUCCUUAAUUAAUUUGUUUUGUGGAAAAAUAAACCAAAUUUUUUGCUUAGAAGAUAAGUUACCAUAGGGAUAACAGCGUAAUUUUUUUUGAGAGUUCAUAUUGAAAAAAGAGAUUGCGACCUCGAUGUUGGAUUAA